AACGAACGCUGGCGGCAUGCCUAACACAUGCCAGUCGAACGAGACCUUCGGGUCUAGUGGCGCACGGGUGCGUAACGCGUGGGAACCUGCCCUUAGGUUCGGAAUAACUCCCCGAAAGGGGUGCUAAUACCGGAUAAUGUCUUCGGACCAAAGAUCUAUCGCCUUUGGAUGGGCCCGCGUUGGAUUAGCUAGUUGGUAGGGUAAAAGCCUACCAAGGCGACGAUCCAUAGCUGGUCUGAGAGGAUGAUCAGCCACACUGGGACUGAGACACGGCCCAGACUCCUACGGGAGGCGGCAGUGGGGAAUAUUGGACGAUGGGCGAAAGCCUGAUCCAGCAAUGCCGCGUGAGUGAUGAAGGCCUUAGGGUUGUAAAGCUCUUUUACCCGGGAUGAUAAUGACAGUACCGGGAGAAUAAGCUCCGGCUAACUCCGUG
rnacentral:rRNA from 1 species